UAGGGAAUAUUGGUCAAUGGGCGGGAGCCUGAACCAGCCAAGCCGCGUGAGGGAGGAAGGCCCUAUGGGUCGUAAACCUCUUUUGUCAGGGAACAAAAGCGAGUAUGUAUACUAGUCUGAGUGUACCUGAAGAAAAACGCAUCGGCUAACUCCGUGCCAGCAGCCGCGGUAAUACGGAGGAUGCGAGCGUUAUCCGGAUUUAUUGGGUUUAAAGGGUGCGUAGGCGGCGGUGCAAUGUCAGCGGUAAAAGCCCGGGGCUCAACCCCGGCGAGCCGUUGAAACUGCAGUGCUAGAGAAGGCGAGAGGUACGCGGAAUGCGCAGUGUAGCGGUGAAAUGCUUAGAUAUUGCGCAGAACUCCGAUUGCGAAGGCAGCGUAUUGGCGCCUGACUGACGCUGAGGCACGAAAGCGUGGGGAUCGAACAGGAUUAGAUACC
rnacentral:rRNA from 1 species